rnacentral:rRNA from 1 species
GCCAAACAGCUAGCUUAAAUAAUAAAAAAACUAAACAACAUAAAUAACAAAUCAUAGCACAAAAUGCAUAAAACAAAUCAUUCUACCACCCUAGUAUGGGAGACAGAAAAGGUAACUUUAAGCUAUAGAAAAAGUACCGCAAGGGAAAGCUGAAAGAGAAAUGAAAUAACCCAUAUAAGCAUAAAUAAAGCAG